UUAAGCGACUAAGCGUACACGGUGGAUGCCCUGGCAGUCAGAGGCGAUGAAGGACGUGCUAAUCUGCGAAAAGCGUCGGUAAGGUGAUAUGAACCGUUAUAACCGGCGAUGUCCGAAUGGGGAAACCCAGUGUGAUUCGUCACACUAUCGUUAACUGAAUACAUAGGUUAACGAGGCGAACCGGGGGAACUGAAACAUCUAAGUACCCCGAGGAAAAGAAAUCAACCGAGAUUCCCCCAGUAGCGGCGAGCGAACGGGGAGCAGCCCAGAGUCUGAAUCAGCUUGUGUGUUAGUGGAACGGUCUGGAAAGUCCGACGGUACAGGGUGAUAGUCCCGUACACCAAAAUGCACAGGUUGUGAACUCGAAGAGUAGGGCGGGACACGUGGUAUCCUGUCUGAAUAUGGGGGGACCAUCCUCCAAGGCUAAAUACUCCUGACUGACCGAUAGUGAACCAGUACCGUGAGGGAAAGGCGAAAAGAACCCCGGCGAGGGGAGUGAAAAAGAACCUGAAACCGUGUACGUACAAGCAGUGGGAGCACCUUCGGGUGUGACUGCGUACCUUUUGUAUAAUGGGUCAGCGACUUAUAUUCUGUAGCAAGGUUAACCGUAUAGGGGAGCCGCAGGGAAACCGAGUCUUAACUGGGCGUUAAGUUGCAGGGUAUAGACCCGAAACCCGGUGAUCUAGCCAUGGGCAGGUUGAAGGUUGGGUAACACUAACUGGAGGACCGAACCGACUAAUGUUGAAAAAUUAGCGGAUGACUUGUGGCUGGGGGUGAAAGGCCAAUCAAACCGGGAGAUAGCUGGUUCUCCCCGAAAGCUAUUUAGGUAGCGCCUCGUGAACUCAUCUUCGGGGGUAGAGCACUGUUUCGGCUAGGGGGUCAUCCCGACUUACCAACCCGAUGCAAACUACGAAUACCGAAGAAUGUUAUCACGGGAGACACACGGCGGGUGCUAACGUCCGUCGUGAAGAGGGAAACAACCCAGACCGCCAGCUAAGGUCCCAAAGUCAUGGUUAAGUGGGAAACGAUGUGGGAAGGCACAGACAGCCAGGAUGUUGGCUUAGAAGCAGCCAUCAUUUAAAGAAAGCGUAAUAGCUCACUGGUCGAGUCGGCCUGCGCGGAAGAUGUAACGGGGCUAAACCAUGCACCGAAGCUGCGGCAGCGACACUAUGUGUUGUUGGGUAGGGGAGCGUUCUGUAAGCCUGCGAAGGUGUGCUGUGAGGCAUGCUGGAGGUAUCAGAAGUGCGAAUGCUGACAUAAGUAACGAUAAAGCGGGUGAAAAGCCCGCUCGCCGGAAGACCAAGGGUUCCUGUCCAACGUUAAUCGGGGCAGGGUGAGUCGACCCCUAAGGCGAGGCCGAAAGGCGUAGUCGAUGGGAAACAGGUUAAUAUUCCUGUACUUGGUGUUACUGCGAAGGGGGGACGGAGAAGGCUAUGUUAGCCGGGCGACGGUUGUCCCGGUUUAAGCAUGUAGGCUGAUUGUCCAGGCAAAUCCGGAUAAUCAAGGCUGAGGUGUGAUGACGAGGCACUACGGUGCUGAAGUAACAAAUGCCCUGCUUCCAGGAAAAGCCUCUAAGCAUCAGGUAACAUCAAAUCGUACCCCAAACCGACACAGGUGGUCAGGUAGAGAAUACCAAGGCGCUUGAGAGAACUCGGGUGAAGGAACUAGGCAAAAUGGUGCCGUAACUUCGGGAGAAGGCACGCUGGUGUGUAGGUGAAGCCCCUGCGGGUGGAGCUGAGACCAGUCGAAGAUACCAGCUGGCUGCAACUGUUUAUUAAAAACACAGCACUGUGCAAACACGAAAGUGGACGUAUACGGUGUGACGCCUGCCCGGUGCCGGAAGGUUAAUUGAUGGGGUUAUCCGUAAGGAGAAGCUCUUGAUCGAAGCCCCGGUAAACGGCGGCCGUAACUAUAACGGUCCUAAGGUAGCGAAAUUCCUUGUCGGGUAAGUUCCGACCUGCACGAAUGGCGUAAUGAUGGCCAGGCUGUCUCCACCCGAGACUCAGUGAAAUUGAACUCGCUGUGAAGAUGCAGUGUACCCGCGGCAAGACGGAAAGACCCCGUGAACCUUUACUAUAGCUUGACACUGAACAUUGAGCCUUGAUGUGUAGGAUAGGUGGGAGGCUUUGAAGCGUGGACGCCAGUCUGCGUGGAGCCAACCUUGAAAUACCACCCUUUAAUGUUUGAUGUUCUAACGUUGGCCCCUUACCGGGGUUGCGGACAGUGUCUGGUGGGUAGUUUGACUGGGGCGGUCUCCUCCCAAAGCGUAACGGAGGAGCACGAAGGUUAGCUAAUCCUGGUCGGACAUCAGGAGGUUAGUGCAAUGGCAUAAGCUAGCUUGACUGCGAGCGUGACGGCGCGAGCAGGUGCGAAAGCAGGUCAUAGUGAUCCGGUGGUUCUGAAUGGAAGGGCCAUCGCUCAACGGAUAAAAGGUACUCCGGGGAUAACAGGCUGAUACCGCCCAAGAGUUCAUAUCGACGGCGGUGUUUGGCACCUCGAUGUCGGCUCAUCACAUCCUGGGGCUGAAGUAGGUCCCAAGGGUAUGGCUGUUCGCCAUUUAAAGUGGUACGCGAGCUGGGUUUAGAACGUCGUGAGACAGUUCGGUCCCUAUCUGCCGUGGGCGCUGGAGAAUUGAGGGGGGCUGCUCCUAGUACGAGAGGACCGGAGUGGACGCAUCACUGGUGUUCGGGUUGUCAUGCCAAUGGCACUGCCCGGUAGCUAAAUGCGGAAGAGAUAAGUGCUGAAAGCAUCUAAGCACGAAACUUGCCCCGAGAUGAGUUCUCCCUGAGACUUUAAGUCUCCUGAAGGAACGUUGAAGACGACGACGUUGAUAGGCCGGGUGUGUAAGCGCAGCGAUGCGUUGAGCUAACCGGUACUAAUGAACCGUGAGGCUUAACCUU
rnacentral:rRNA from 1 species